GGGGUACUCGAGUGGCGAACGGGUGAGUAACACGUGGGNGAUCUGCCCUGCACUUUGGGAUAAGCCUGGGAAACUGGGUCUAAUNNCCGAAUAGGAUCAUGGCCUGCAUGGGUUGUGGUGGAAAGCUUUUGCGGUGUGGGAUGGGCCCGCGGCCUAUCAGCUUGUUGGUGGGGUAAUGGCCUACCAAGGCGACGACGGGUAGCCGGCCUGAGAGGGNGNCCGGCCACACUGGGACUGAGAUACGGCCCAGACUCCUACGGGAGGCAGCAGUGGGGAAUAUUGCACAAUGGGCGCAAGCCUGAUGCAGCGACGCCGCGUGAGGGAUGACGGCCUUCGGGUUGUAAACCUCUUUCAGUAGGGACGAAGCGCAAGUGACGGUACCUAUAGAAGAAGGACCGGCCAACUACGUGCCAGCAGCCGCGGUAAUACGUAGGGUCCGAGCGUUGUCCGGAAUUACUGGGCGUAAAGAGCUCGUAGGUGGUUUGUCGCGUUGUUCGUGAAAACUCACAGCUCAACUGUGGGCGUGCGGGCGAUACGGGCAGACUUGAGUACUGCAGGGGAGACUGGAAUUCCUGGUGUAGCGGUGGAAUGCGCAGAUAUCAGGAGGAACACCGGUGGCGAAGGCGGGUCUCUGGGCAGUAACUGACGCUGAGGAGCGAAAGCGUGGGGAGCGAACAGGAUUAGAUACCCUGGUAGUCCACGCCGUAAACGGUGGGUACUAGGUGUGGGUUUCCUUCCUUGGGAUCCGUGCCGUAGCUAACGCA
rnacentral:rRNA from 1 species